rnacentral:rRNA from 1 species
UUUGGACGAGGGGCCCCUCUCGGGUUACCGAAUUCAGACAAACUCCGAAUGCCAAUUAAUUUAACUUGGGAGUCAGAACAUGGGUGAUAAGGUCCGUGUUCGAAAGGGAAACAGCCCAGACCACCAGCUAAGGUCCCAAAAUAUAUGUUAAGUGGAAAAGGAUGUGGCGUUGCCCAGACAACUAGGAUGUUGGCUUAGAAGCAGCCAUCAUUUAAAGAGUGCGUAAUAGCUCACUAGUCGAGUGACACUGCGCCGAAAAUGUACCGGGGCUAAACAUAUUACCGAAGCUGUGGAUUGUCCUUUGGACAAUGGUAGGAGAGCGUUCUAAGGGCGUUGAAGCAUGAUCGUAAGGACAUGUGGAGCGCUUAGAAGUGAGAAUGCCGGUGUGAGUAGCGAAAGACGGGUGAGAAUCCCGUCCACCGAUUGACUAAGGUUUCCAGAGGAAGGCUCGUCCGCUCUGGGUUAGUCGGGUCCUAAGCUGAGGCCGACAGGCGUAGGCGAUGGAUAACAGGUUGAUAUUCCUGUACCACCUAUAAUCGUUUUAAUCGAUGGGGGGACGCAGUAGGAUAGGCGAAGCGU